rnacentral:snoRNA from 1 species
AAGCCCUGCCUUUGAACCUAAUGUGUCUUGUAUGUAGCUUCACAGGCCAAGCAACAGUGCUGGAAUGUAAGGACUUGUAACUGGGGCUCUUCAGCUCUUAGCUGAACUGCUCUUUUAAAAACAAGGUACAUUU